UACGGGGGGGGCAAGCGUUGUUCGGAAUUACUGGGCGUAAAGGGCUCGUAGGCGGCCAACUAAGUCAGACGUGAAAUCCCUCGGCUUAACCGGGGAACUGCGUCUGAUACUGGAUGGCUUGAGUUCGGGAGAGGGAUGCGGAAUUCCAGGUGUAGCGGUGAAAUGCGUAGAUAUCGUAAGGAAGACCAGUGGCGAAGGCGGGUCUCUGGACAGUUCCUGACGCUGAGGCACGAAGGUCAGGGGAGCAAACGGG
rnacentral:rRNA from 1 species